rnacentral:tRNA from 1 species
UAAUAAGAGGCUCAUGCCAUAGAUAAAUUUACAAUUUAUUGCCUUAAAUUCAGCCACCUUAUU